rnacentral:rRNA from 1 species
GACAGAGGGUGCGAACGUUGUUCGGAAUUACUGGGCGUAAAGCGCGUGUAGGCGGCAGCGCAAGUCGGGCGUGAAAUCCCACGGCUCAACCGUGGAAGUGCACUCGAAACUGCGCAGCUAGAGUCCUGGAGAGGAAGGUGGAAUGCUUGGUGUAGCGGUGAAAUGCGUAGAUAUCAGGAGGAACACCGGUGGCGAAGGCGGCUUUCUGGACAGAUACCGACGCUGAGGCACGAAAGCUAGGGGAGCAAACAGG